ensembl:lncRNA
CACUACUGAUCUGCCUCCAUCAACAACCUCCGAGAAGUAUUUAAAGUUCAUUUCACAUUUUAUGCUUUGAUGAUUUCCCUAUUUUUAAGUGUUUCUAACCUAUUGUAUCACAGGGUUCACACUUCCUCAUCACCUACAUUAACAACAAAGGACAAAAGGAUGUUCACCACCACUGAUCUGCCUCCAACAACUGCCUCUGAGAAGAUGUACAACACCACCUCACCACCUGCAGAAACAACAGAAGGCAAAAGGAUGUUCACCACCACUGAUCUGCCUCCAUCAACAACCUCCGAGAAGGUUCACACUUCCUCAUCACCUACAUUAACAACAAAGGACAAAAGGUAUUAUUUCCUCUUUUUUUUUUUUUCAAUUUAA